ACUUUAGUUUUCAGUCAGAAUUUUUUCUAAGUUCUUAACUGAAUCCUCAAUAUAGUCAGGAAAAUGUAGAAAUAAUAUUAUAUCAAAAUAGCUGAGUGGUUAAGGCGCUCCGUUGCGAUAAUUACUGAUGUGCAGUUCCGCGUUCAAUCCCCACCGAAGACUUUUCUAUUUCUCCGUUUUAGUCAAUGGUAGACUAGUCUACUAUUAUAUUAUAUUCUAAAUUCACUGAAUUUCAUUGUACAUUUACGAGGGUUUCACUAGAAAAUGACUGCUUCGGUACUGCUUGUUUUAUUUUCUACAAGUUUUUUUGCUUCAAGUAAUUCUAUAGUAUUUCUAUGUUAUUAUUGUAAAAAUACUUGUUCCAAAAUCCUUUACUAUUACUUGAGUUUUUUUAUUGUAUUUCUUAAGUAAUUGCCAAGUAAAUUUUCACCUGGGUCGUUCUUUUAACGAUUCGUUUUGUUCUUUGUUCAAUUUUUGAAAGUCAUAUUUUGAUUUAGGUUCGUUACCCGUUUAGUUAACCUAAACUAGUAGAACUUUUUGAAUUUCGUCAAUCGUUUCUUGACAUGAAAAAGCUGAACUGGAGAUUACAGAAAAUCUGCAAAAGGGCGUUGCCUACGAAAGGAUUUAUGUAAGCCAAAGCAUUAGAAAACAAACGAAACCAGUGUAUCGCAAAAUCCUUACACUCCAAAACUUAACAAAACAGACUACCCGGAACCGCCCGGAACAUCCAACUUUAGCGACACAAUUUUCGUUGUCUUUGAAAUUUGUGGAGAUUAGUGCCAAUUCCUUUUUGUUGUUGUAUUCAAUGAUUUGUAUGUAUGUGUGCGAUUAAUUGAAAGAUGAUUUUCCAUGUUUUUCAGAUUGCGUCGUGAAAGGAAUGUUUCAUAGGAGUUGUUUGUGCUCCACUUUUAUGCUCCUUCUUCAUACUAAAGAACGUUAUGCUUUGAACGGGGAAAAUUCCUAGAAAAACCCCUCCCAAAGAUGCCGAAAACCCGAGGAUUCUCCGGAUCCUAAAACACCUAAUCAGGGAGUCGGCCAACGUUGCCUUUUACUAGCGAAUGAUGGCCUUGUCAUCCACUAUAGGACAAGGUGAAGAACUGCACAUCUCCGGCGGAACGAAAUGAUUUUACCUGACGUUUUCAUGCCUUUGAAUAUAAAUUUUGUGAAACAUGGUAUCUUUUGGUUUUCCUGCGAUAUCCGCUUUCAUCUCCAUAGCAACGUG